rnacentral:rRNA from 1 species
AGUGAACGCUGGCGGUAGGCCUAACACAUGCAAGUCGAACGGCAGCACAGUAAGAGCUUGCUCUUACGGGUGGCGAGUGGCGGACGGGUGAGGAAUACAUCGGAAUCUACUUUUUCGUGGGGGAUAACGUAGGGAAACUUACGCUAAUACCGCAUACGACCUACGGGUGAAAGCAUGGGAUCUUCGGACCUUGCGCGAUUGAAUGAGCCGAUGUCGGAUUAGCUAGUUGGCGGGGUAAAGGCCCACCAAGGCGACGAUCCGUAGCUGGUCUGAGAGGAUGAUAAGCCACACUGGAACUGAGACACGGUCCAGACUCCUAAGGGAGGCAGCAGUGGGGAAUAUUGGACAAAGGGCGCAAGCCUGAUCCAGCCAUACCGCGUGGGUGAAGAAGGCCUUCGGGUUGUAAAGCCCUUUUGUUGGGAAAGAAAAGCAGCAGGUUAAUACCCCGCUGUUCUGACGGUACCCAAAGAAUAAGCACCGGCUAACUUCGUG